GACCCGUCUUGAACCACGGAGUCUAACAUGUGCGCGAGUCAUUGGGCUGUACGAAACCUAAAGGCGUAAUGAAAGUGAAGGUCUCGCCUUGCGCGGGCCGAGGGAGGAUGGGGCUUCCCCGCCCUUACACGGGGCGGUGGCCUCCGCACUCCCGGGGCGUCUCGUCCUCAUUGCGAGGUGAGGCGCACCUAGAGCGUACACGUUGGGACCCGAAAGAUGGUGAACUAUGCCUGGCCAGGACGAAGUCAGGGGAAACCCUGAUGGAGGUCCGUAGCGAUUCUGACGUGCAAAUCGAUCGUCGGAGCUGGGUAUAGGGGCGAAAGACUAAUCGACCACUUAGUAGCUGGUUCCUUCCGA
rnacentral:rRNA from 1 species